GUAGGAGUCAAGCGUUAUCCGAAUUUACUGGGCGUAAAGCGCGUGUAGGCGGUUCGAUAAGUUGGAUGUGAAAGCUCCUGGCUCAACUGGGAGAGGUCGUUCAAUACUGUCGGACUAGAGGAUGGUAGAGGGAGGUGGAAUUCCCGGUGUAGUGGUGAAAUGCGUAGAUAUCGGGAGGAACACCAGUGGCGAAAGCGGCCUCCUGGACCAUUCCUGACGCUCAGACGCGAAAGCUAGGGGAGCAAACGGGAUUAGAAACCCCGGUAGUCCUAGCCGUAAACGAUGUAGACUUGGCGUCGGCGGGGUAAAAGCCAUCGGUGCCGAAGCUAACGCGAUAAGUCUACCGCCUGGGGACUACGGCCGCAAGGUUA
rnacentral:rRNA from 1 species